GACGAACGCUGGCGGCGUGCCUAAUACAUGCAAGUUGAGCGCUGAAGGUUGGUACUUGUACCAACUGGAUGAGCAGCGAACGGGUGAGUAACGCGUGGGGAAUCUGCCUUUGAGCGGGGGACAACAUUUGGAAACGAAUGCUAAUACCGCAUAAAAACUUUAAACACAAGUUUUAAGCUUGAAAGAUGCAAUUGCUUCACUCAAAGAUGAUCCCGCGUUGUAUUAGCUAGUUGGUGAGGUAAAGGCUCACCAAGGCGAUGAUACAUAGCCGACCUGAGAGGGUGAUCGGCCACAUUGGGACUGAGACACGGCCCAAACUCCUACGGGAGGCAGCAGUAGGGAAUCUUCGGCAAUGGACGAAAGUCUGACCGAGCAACGCCGCGGGAGUGAAGAAGGGUUUCGGAUCGUAAAACUCUGUUGGUAGAGAAGAAAGUUGGUGAGAGUGGAAAGCUCAUCAAGUGACGGUAACUACACAGAAAGGGACGGCUAACUACGUG
rnacentral:rRNA from 1 species